rnacentral:rRNA from 1 species
AGAGUUUGAUCCUGGCUCAGAGCGAACGCUGGCGGCAGGCUUAACACAUGCAAGUCGAGCGGGCACUUCGGUGUCAGCGGCAGACGGGUGAGUAACGCGUGGGAACGUACCUUUUGGUUCGGAACAACACAGGGAAACUUGUGCUAAUACCGGAUAAGCCCUUACGGGGAAAGAUUUAUCGCCGAAAGAUCGGCCCGCGUCUGAUUAGCUAGUUGGUGAGGUAACGGCUCACCAAGGCGACGAUCAGUAGCUGGUCUGAGAGGAUGAUCAGCCACAUUGGGACUGAGACACGGCCCAAACUCCUACGGGAGGCAGCAGUGGGGAAUAUUGGACAAUGGGCGCAAGCCUGAUCCAGCCAUGCCGCGUGAGUGAUGAAGGCCCUAGGGUUGUAAAGCUCUUUUGUGCGGGAAGAUAAUGACGGUACCGCAAGAAUAAGCCCCGGCUAACUUCGUGCCAGCAGCCGCGGUAAUACGAAGGGGGCUAGCGUUGCUCGGAAUCACUGGGCGUAAAGGGUGCGUAGGCGGGUCUUUAAGUCAGAGGUGAAAGCCUGGAGCUCAACUCCAGAACUGCCUUUGAUACUGAGGAUCUCGAGUUCGGGAGAGGUGAGUGGAACUGCGAGUGUAGAGGUGAAAUUCGUAGAUAUUCGCAAGAACACCAGUGGCGAAGGCGGCUCACUGGCCCGAUACUGACGCUGAGGCACGAAAGCGUGGGGAGCAAACAGGAUUAGAUACCCUAGUAGUCC